rnacentral:rRNA from 1 species
GGCUCACGAUGAACGCUAGCUACAGGCUUAACACAUGCAAGUCGAGGGGCAGCAUGGUCUUAGCUUGCUAAGGCCGAUGGCGACCGGCGCACGGGUGAGUAACACGUAUCCAACCUGCCGUCUACUCUUGGACAGCCUUCUGAAAGGAAGAUUAAUACAAGAUGGCAUCAUGAGUCCGCAUGUUCACAUGAUUAAAGGUAUUCCGGUAGACGAUGGGGAUGCGUUCCAUUAGAUAGUAGGCGGGGUAACGGCCCACCUAGUCUUCGAUGGAUAGGGGUUCUGAGAGGAAGGUCCCCCACAUUGGAACUGAGACACGGUCCAAACUCCUACGGGAGGCAGCAGUGAGGAAUAUUGGUCAAUGGGCGAGAGCCUGAACCAGCCAAGUAGCGUGAAGGAUGACUGCCCUAUGGGUUGUAAACUUCUUUUAUAAAGGAAUAAAGUCGGGUAUGGAUACCCGUUUGCAUGUACUUUAUGAAUAAGGAUCGGCUAACUCCGUGCCAGCAGCCGCGGUAAUACGGAGGAUCCGAGCGUUAUCCGGAUUUAUUGGGUUUAAAGGGAGCGUAGAUGGAUGUUUAAGUCAGUUGUGAAAGUUUGCGGCUCAACCGUAAAAUUGCAGUUGAUACUGGAUAUCUUGAGUGCAGUUGAGGCAGGCGGAAUUCGUGGUGUAGCGGUGAAAUGCUUAGAUAUCACGAAGAACUCCGAUUGCGAAGGCAGCCUGCUAAGCUGCAACUGACAUUGAGGCUCGAAAGUGUGGGUAUCAAACAGGAUUAGAUACCCUGGUAGUCCACACGGUAAACGAUGAAUACUCGCUGUUUGCGAUAUACUGCAAGCGGCCAAGCGAAAGCGUUAAGUAUUCCACCUGGGGAGUACGCCGGCAACGGUGAAACUCAAAGGAAUUGACGGGGGCCCGCACAAGCGGAGGAACAUGUGGUUUAAUUCGAUGAUACGCGAGGAACCUUACCCGGGCUUAAAUUGCAGAUGAAUUACGGUGAAAGCCGUAAGCCGCAAGGCAUCUGUGAAGGUGCUGCAUGGUUGUCGUCAGCUCGUGCCGUGAGGUGUCGGCUUAAGUGCCAUAACGAGCGCAACCCUUGUUGUCAGUUACUAACAGGUUCCGCUGAGGACUCUGACAAGACUGCCAUCGUAAGAUGUGAGGAAGGUGGGGAUGACGUCAAAUCAGCACGGCCCUUACGUCCGGGGCUACACACGUGUUACAAUGGGGGGUACAGAGGGCCGCUACCACGCGAGUGGAUGCCAAUCCCCAAAACCUCUCUCAGUUCGGACUGGAGUCUGCAACCCGACUCCACGAAGCUGGAUUCGCUAGUAAUCGCGCAUCAGCCACGGCGCGGUGAAUACGUUCCCGGGCCUUGUACACACCGCCC